CCUACGGGUGGUAGCAGUAGGGAAUAUUGCUCAAUGGGGGAAACCCUGAAGCAGCAACGCCGCGUGGAGGAUGAAGGUUUUCGGAUUGUAAACUCCUUUUGUUAGAGAAGAUAAUGACGGUAUCUAACGAAUAACCACAGGCUAACUCCGUGCCAGCAGCCGCGGUAAGACAGCGGGUGCAAGCGUUCGUCGGAGUCAAUGGGCGUAAAGAGCGCGUAGGCGGGAUAGCAAGUCUGAUGUGAAAUCCUAUGGCUUAACCAUAGAACUGCAUUUGAAACUGUUAUUCUAGAGUAUUGGAGAGGUAGGUGGAAUUCUUGGUGUAGGGGUAAAAUCCGUAGAGAUCAAGAGGAAUACUCAUUGCGAAGGCGGCCUGCUAGAACAUAACUGACGCUGAUGCGCGAAAGCGUGGGGAGCAAACAGGAUUAGAUACCCGGGUAGUC
rnacentral:rRNA from 1 species